CUAUUCAAGUGCACAAGCAAAAUGCAGACUGACCCACGAGUCCACCACCACUUCAACUCACAACAAAUCUUGCACUUUUCAGUGGAAAAUUACUUCUCAUACGAUGAUACGAUGCUACUCGGCACAGCAUUGAGUAGUAAUUAGGUACACCGUGCAACACUCCACACUGCUUUGUACUAACAUUAAUCAUCAAUCCAUUCAUUGUCAAUUUUUUUCCGAAAUGAAGGGUUUUUCCCAGGCCUCUGCAUCUGGUGAUGCACACGAUCGUCCUAACUAAAAAGGAACAUACCAAAGAUCCACACCGUUAUACAAAAUUGAAAAAGAAAAAACCCCACCAGGCCAUAACAAGAUUAGAUGACUCAAUCGCAUAUCGUCAUCCAUACAGGCUGAACAAAUCCUCCCACCGGUUGCACCCAAAGUUCGUUGAUGCCUGGGCCUCUGCACGAAUCAGGGAGGACCAACAACUCAGUGCCACUCUACAAAUCACAUAUGUUUUUCACCUAUAGUUGGGGGUGUCACACUCACACACCAUAAAUAUGGAUUAAUGUAUAAAGGAAAAUGAUCUUGACUCGGCGCCCUGUGCACCCUAGUAGUAUAACCUAGGUACGCCCAAGUACGUAUCCAUCCUGUAGCUCUGAAUGAUUUGUAAUUUUUGUUGUUGUUUGGAUAUGUUUUUUUUUGCAACAAUUCCAUAUCACCCAGAGUAAAGCACAAAUGCCAACACGUUGUCCUAUUUGGAUUGAGAUCCAGUGACAUGCCAUGAGCGGACAGGGAUCCAGUGACAUGCCCACAGCAUGUCACCGCGUAACAUGGCCAUUGGAUCAAAAACGGACAGCCUAGAUCUAGCAAAGAGUACUGUAGAAGUGUACUGUGUUGGUUUCCUGUUCAUAGGCCACUGCACUGUAGCCUGGUGUUCUUCACAUUGAUCUCUUCGUUGAUUCUCAAUCGGACGGUGGAAUAUAGGCGCAUGUUACCAUACUGUUCACCGGUGACAUGCUCAUGGCGGAUUGAGAAUCAACGGAGAGAUCAAUGUGAAGAACACCAGGCUACAGUGCGCGAACAGUGCAGGCGCUACAGUGGCAAAUGAACAGGAAACCAACACAGUACACUUCUACAGUACUCUUUGCUACAGUACGUGAUCUAGGCUGUCCGUUUCUGAUCCAAUGGCCAUGUUACGCGGUGACAUGCGGUGGGCAUGUCACUGGAUCCCUGUCCCACGUAUUUGUGCCUUAAGCUUAUUUUUUUCGAAACAGAGGCAUAAGAUUUACCUCAUCUAUUAAAUAAGGAGAAUAGAGUUUUAGAGUUUUACAAGUACAGCACGGUUAUGACAUGACAAUUACCCGUGCAAUACAAUAUGCCCUAGCUGCUUAGCGUCCAUGGUAAUCCAAAGCUUUGCCUCGUCGCUAAUCAAACGCAAUAAGAUGGGGGGGGGGGCCUUUUGCGUCGGAAGACGAGAGAAUUCUCUCAUUCCAGAGGGUCCAAGAGACAAGCAUGGCAAGAGACGCCAUUGCUCUCCUAUUUGGGGUUUCCAAACCGGUUCUCUUGUCCCACCAAUCCAUGACGGAGUCCUCCAUGUGCUAAGUCGAAGUGUCGACAUGAGCAAGGCUAAAUUUCUCGGAGACCAAACCCCAAAGCCUAAGUGUAUGGAGACACUUGAAGAAUAGAUGUGGUCCGGUUUCUUGCUUCCUCUUGCGAAGAGGACAAAGGCCGCAAUUGGACCAACCCCGCCUUUCCAACCGGUCGUCUGUUCAAAUCUGAUCUUGAAGUGCAAGCCAUGUGAAGAAUUCAACUUUUGGGGGUCCCCAAACCUUCCACACCAUGUGUUCCAUUGGGGAGAGGGUCAUCCCAAGGAAUUGCGCUUUGUAAGCGGUGGUCGCCGAAUAUAUCCCAUCAUUUGAGUGCUUCCAAAGAAUGUCGUCUUCCACAAGGUCAUAAAGAUGGAAGUCAUGAACAAGCAUCCAAAGAGUGAAGAACUCCCGGACGAGGGCACCGGAGACGAUGGUGUUGUGGUUGAUCUUGAGGAUCCAAGCAUUAUCUUUAAGGGCUUCGAGCACCUUCCAAUUCUUCUUGAGGCUUCAAAAAACAGUGGUGCGAUGUCCUUAGGCUUGCGCCCAAGGAGCCAUGGGGAAUGCUAAAACGACGUUUUCGCGCCAUUGCCGACAAUGAUUGUGGUGGAGGCAUAGAAAAAAUCAAGGUCCUCCUCAUUGCAUGGGUUUCCAAGCAUAAGCCACAACUUGUUUGGCUCUUUCAAUUCAUACCACGGCUAAUGAAGGCGAAGAGCACGGGCAAAUUUGUCGGUGUUGAGGACCCCAAGUCCUUCAUACUCCCGAGGGCGGCAAACGACCUCCCAAUUGACCUUGCGUUUGGCACCGGUCCUCUUAUCUGAGCCGGAUUAAAGGAAGGCCCUCUUGAUUUUGUUGAGGUUCUGGAGAGAGCUCGGUGGGACGGUAAGAGGCGUGAUCGAGAACACCGCUUGGGAGGUAAUGACUGAUUUGACAAGAGCCGUCCGACCAAUGGUAUUGAUAUUUUGGCCCUCCCAAGUGACCAAUUUGCCGGCCGCUUUGUCCUCAAGAUAUUGAAAGUCCACCUUGUUGAGUUGUCAAACCGAGAGACUGAGCCCCAAGUAUUUCACUGGGAAGGAGGCUCUAGCCGCUGGCAUGCUCUGGAGAAUGUGCCCCAAGUGAAGAUGAUUGCAGCGAAUGGGCACCACCGAGCUCUUAUGAAAGUUUGUGCAAAGGCCCGUCACCUCACCAAAACUCCUUAGGAUUGCUGAAAGGUUCUCUAUAGCCCUCUUGAUUGGGGCCAUAAAAACAACCGCGUCAUCCGCAUAAAGUGAGGUUCUCACCGUGGCACCCCGGCCACGUAUCUUAUGGAGAAUGCCUUUCCAAGUUGCCAGCUCAAGGAUUUGAUGAAGAGGAUCAAUCACAAGGACAAAUAGAGGGGGAAGCGCGUCACCCUGCCAAAGCCCACGAGCAUGCUUGAUGGGGGGGACCGGGGAUCCCAUUCUGGAGGAUGCACGAGGAAGAUGUGGAUAGAAGCGCCGCAAUCCAACCCCGGACAUUGCUUGGGAACCCCUUCCGUUGGAGGAGGUCAAGAAUGUACUCCAACUCGACCGUGUCAUAGGCCAUGAUGUCAAGCUUGGAAAGCAGGGCGGGGAUUUUGCUCUUGUGUAGCCAACGAGCAAAAUUCCAAAUUUGCAUGAAGUUGUCAUGUAUACUACGCCUCAUAAUGGAUGCACUUUGAGGGUUGGAGACGAGGGCGUUCAUGUGGGGAGCAAGGCAUAAGGAGAGGGCUUUAGCAAUGAUUUUGGCCACCGCGUGGAUAAGGCUAAUGGGCCUAUAGUCGGAGAUGCCCUCUGCGCCCUCCUUCUUGGGCAAGAGCACCACAUUAGCAGAGUUGAGCCAUUGAAGGUUGGAAGUGUGCAGCGAGUCGAAGCUUUGGAUGGCUCUCAUAAUGUCGUGCUUGAUGAAUCCCCAACACUUUUUUAAAAAGAGACCCGUGAAGCCAUCCGGGCCGGGAGCCUUGUCACCGGGAAAGUCUUUGAUGGCCUCCCAUACCUCCUGCUCAGUGAUAGUAUGGCCAAGGUCAUGCAAGUCCAGUGGCUCAAUGUUAAGCUCCUCCCAGUUAAAAUCCUUGGUGCACCUAUCCCCUCGACCCACGACCUCCGAGAAAUGGCCAUGGAUGAUUUUCUCCUUUUCUCCGUGCUCGGUGACCCAACCAUGCACAUGCUUGAUCCUGUGAAUGUGGUUUUUCCUCCUCCGGGCGUUUAUGCGACGAUGGAAGAAAUUGGUGUUUGCGUCUCCAUCCUUUAGGUUUGCCAACCUCUGCCUUAAGCUUAUGAUGAACACCACCCAACCAGUUGCCGAACAUAUUCGCUAUGCUAGUUGGAGGUGGCAGGUUGAAAGCUACAUGGACGGUACGCUAAAGAUGCAAGCGGACAUGACAGGAAUAAAUGAUGGCUUGUUUCCUCCUUGUCACAUAAGCAACAUGUUCUACAUCUCUGCCAAUUCCGUUUAGCCAGAUUGUCUUUUGUUAAUACCACACCUCUGUGCAGGUAUCACAUGAAAAUCUUUAUCAUUAACGACACUUUGAUUUGCCAAAUAUAUUUGUGACGAAACACUGGUCCAGUAUUAAUCAGAUCAGAAUACAUUGACCUGCUAGAAAAAACACCGGGAGUAUUCAACUUACACCGAAACACGGCGGCAACAUCCGACGAUAGGUUGACCGUCAUCAACAUAUGGAUCAGAUGUAGCCACUCUGUCCACUUGACCCCACCAAACGCCCAUUGAAAUUCAAUAUUCAAUGGAGUCGUCCCCAUCGCUGACGCAACUGAAACGUCUUUUCGUUGCAUGAUGUUAUAAAGGCUCAGAUAUUGGAGGCCAAGCGGCGCUCUCCAAGCUAUGUAUCAUCCCAGAAAUGAGUAUUGAGGCCAUUGCCUAUCGCAAACGACCCUCCGCAAAAGAACUCAGACGUCACUCUCAUCAAUCCCUUCUAGAAUGGGUAGUUAGUUGGUUUUGCGUACACUUGGGAUAAUGUCUUGGAGGCCGGGUACUUGUUAGAACUACUAGGUUCUCACCCAGGACUCUCUCACUGUUUUUCUCACACCCCCAUGCACACAAGGAACAAGUAUGAAGCUCUGUAGGUUUAUAUCAGCAGCAACAAGCUUACUAUUACAAACAGGGGUACAUGCCCUUUUGUAGGACUAUGCAAACCGACCUAUACUACCAAUACUUAAUAGAUAACCUAGGACAGCUCAGUGCAAGCUUUUACUGCAGUCUAGGACAUACUGCUGUCUAUGUACAACUCAGUCAGAUCAGACUUUGCUUCUUACUGUUGACAGCUACUAUAGUGCUAAAAAAAACUACUAUAGUGCUACCUGAAGAGUCUGGAUGCAUGCCUAUAGUGCUAGCUGCUGCUCUUUCGCGACAUGCAAGGCUGAUAAAUAGCUAGCUAAUUUUGCAUGUCAUUAUACAACAUCCACAUAACUAAUCAUCUUAGCAAUGGUAGUUCUUGCAUACCGGGGAUACCAAAUCUUGUCAUACCAAACUCACCGGUAUGCUGAAUCGUCUUAUCUCUUGCAUAUCGGUUAGGCUUCUCAUAUUGUAUGAUCACAUCUGUGGAGUUUUCAAAAGAGAGAAGGAGGGGGACGUGAUCGGAACCAAUCCGAGUAAUCGCCCGGAGCGACGCUAGGGGGCAACGAAUGUCCCACUCAGGUGAUGCGAAGACCCGGUCAAGGACCGACCGGGUUGGGUCAGCGUGGCGAUUGGUCCAGGUAAACCUGGCACCGACUCUAUCUAGCUCGCGGAGUCCCAUGUCCGCGAUGUAGUCGUUGAACAUUUGCAUCCGGGGGAAGUUGAUCAAGUUAUUGCUCUUAUCCUCCUCCGACGGGAUGGGGUUAAAGUCGCCGCCCACCCCGACCGGUAGCUGGGCGGCCGCGACCUUCGCGCGGAGCUCGGCAAGGAAGUCCUCAGAGCGGCUAUGAUCUGCAGGUCCGUAGACGGCAAUGAUCUCCCACUUGAAGUUGAGAGCCCGCUCAAAGAUCUCCAUGCUGCGAAGAACUCGCCCCGGUCCAUGCUUCCUACCUCAAAGGUGGCAUCCUUGACUCCUAGAAGGAUGCCACCCGAGUGGCCUGCGCUCCCACUAGAAGGGAGCCAGUGCCAAGCAAAAAAGUCGGAACUCAAAUGCUCGAGUUCCGAGAGUGAGAAUUCGGAGAAUUCGGUGCGCAUCGUUUCUUGAAUGGCCACAAUGUCUAUUCGCUCGUUACGCAGGUAUUCGAUCAAUUGGCGGCGCCGACCAUCUUGACCGAAGCCGCGGAUGUUCCAGAAGUGGGUUCGCAUCACGAGAUCAUGGGGGGCUGCUUGACCCCAGGACUCGGGAUGCGCUCUGUGCGCGGAAGGCUGCGGUGCGAGAGCGAGUGCGUCCCCGGAUCUUAGCCGGGUCAGCCACUGCACGAGGCUGGGUGCCCACGGAGGCAUCGGCAGCGGUGCCGGAGGCGGCCUGAAGGCGUGCACGGGUCUCGGCAAGGCGCCCAUCAAGGAUCUCUCGAGCACGGAUCACUUCAAUUUGGACUAACGGGGAUUCUAUUUCACCUCUGAACAUGAUGGCCGAAUCUGCUGCCACCUUUGCGAGGUGGCCUAACGGUGCCGACUCGAGAGCAGAGAACGAGCAAGUAGCGGGGGUAGCUGGGAUGGGAGGAGUACCUGGCUCGAGGUUCCGGGCAGCUGCCCGGAGCUCCGCCCGCUCUGGAAUAGGCAGAGCUGGGCUGCCCUCCGGUCUGGCCGCCUCGAUCCUGGCACUGCAGCGCGAGGACGUCACCGGAGUCNNN
rnacentral:lncRNA from 1 species